GGGCCCAUGGCGCAGCUGGGAGCGCGCUUCAAUGGCAUUGAAGAGGUCGAGGGUUCGAAUCCCUCUGGGUCCA
rnacentral:tRNA from 1 species